rnacentral:miRNA from 1 species
AUAAGGAUCACCCAGGAUCUUGUUAAAUUCAGAUUCUGAUUCAGUAGUUUGCAUGAGCCUGAGAGUCUGCAUUUCUAACAAGCUGCUCAUCCAUAU